CAGGCUGUCUCCACCCGAGACUCAGUGAAAUUGAACUCGCUGUGAAGAUGCAGUGUACCCGCGGCAAGACGGAAAGACCCCGUGAACCUUUACUAUAGCUUGACACUGAACAUUGAGCCUUGAUGUGUAGGAUAGGUGGGAGGCUUUGAAGUGUGGACGCCAGUCUGCAUGGAGCCGACCUUGAAAUACCACCCUUUAAUGUUUGAUGUUCUAACGUUGACCCGUGAUCCGGGUUGCGGACAGUGUCUGGUGGGUAGUUUGACUGGGGCGGUCUCCUCCUAAAGAGUAACGGA
rnacentral:rRNA from 1 species